CAGAUGGCCAACUCCUGGGGUUUGCUGUUGGCAAGGCUCUACUCGGGGCUGGGGACAGCAGCAGCAAACACAGUCUGGUGCUCAGACACAGGACAGCCCCGGGACAGACAGACGGGGCAGAGGCAGACAGGCGUGGGGAGACCGGGCAGGGAGAGGGCUGUGAACCCAGGACAGAGCCAGGUGGGCGGAGGGCCAUGGGCAGGAGCAGGAGGGGUAACUGGACAGUCAAGGAGGGUUCCCUGGGGAGGACCCUGGCCAGAGCCCUCACCACAGGGACAGGCCUGAGAGCAUCUCAGGAAGAGGGUCCUGCCAAGGGAGCAGCAGUGUGAGGCCAGUGGGCACAGGCUGACCUGUCCAGCAGGCACGAGUCCAGGUGGCUGCAGGCGAUGCAGGAGGAGCAGCUGUGACAGGUGGCAGGACAGAGGUGGGCAGGGGUUAGUCCUGCAGGUGCCUCUGCUCUGGCAGAGCCUGAGAAGCCCCUGGAAGUUCUGCUGGGCGUGGAGAGCUGACUGCUGGCUGCAGGUCCCUCCAGCUCCCUGUGGGAGGUGAGGGGCAUCAGCCAGAGUGGACUCAGGAAUCACCUGCCUCUGUCCUCUCCAUAGAGCCCUGUAGAUGAAGACCCCUGGGCUGUCACCUGUGCCCAGAAUCAGGGCCAUUGUGGAGUGUCCACUUAUCCCCUGAGUCACGGCCAUUCCUGGUCAUGAAGGACACAUUAGAGGGAGAGGACAGCCUGAAGGGUGUCAUGUGGGUCCUGUCCCCUCCAGGGCCCAGGCUCCCCAGACACCAGCCUCACCUGUCACCACUCUGCCCUCACUCCAGGUGGCUGCAUCUGGUGCCCCCCAGAAUGUGACCUACGCCCAGCUGAAUUACCUCAAGCUCAAGGAGACAGCCACUCCUCCUUCCUCCCAGGGACAGGAGCCUCCCACUGCGCCCAGUGUCUACACCACCCUGGCCUUCCACUAGCCCAGGACACCACUCAGAUCCCACACUGCAAGGACAGGGACACGGGGACCCCAGCAGGCACAAGACAGCCCAUGGACAUGCAGCUAGGUGUCACGGCCAGCUUGGGGCCUGACAUGCAUGGCCAGGAGCAUCUGCGACCUGCUGGACGUCAGCUGAUUCCCAGUCACAAUAACUGGUCCCCAACCACGUGCCACGUUUGGCCAUUUUAUUCUCCUAGUCACCAACAGGCAAGGGGAGGAGUCACAAGGCAAGUGAGCAAAUGUGUGAUGGGAAAGUGCAUCCCGCUGAUGACGCACAGAAACGAAGUGACUUUG
rnacentral:lncRNA from 1 species